CAGCAGCCACGGUAAUACGGAGGGUGCAAGCGUUAAUCGGAAUUACUGGGCGUAAAGCGUGCGUAGGCGGCUUCUUAAGUCGGAUGUGAAAUCCCUGAGCUUAACUUAGGAAUUGCAUUCGAUACUGGGAAGCUAGAGUAUGGGAGAGGAUGGUAGAAUUCCAGGUGUAGCGGUGAAAUGCGUAGAGAUCUGGAGGAAUACCGAUGGCGAAGGCAGCCAUCUGGCCUAAUACUGACGCUGAGGUACGAAAGCAUGGGGAGCAAACAGGAUUAGAUACCCCAGUAGUCCCUGUCUCUUAUAA
rnacentral:rRNA from 1 species